AAGCUUUACACCUUACGAAGUAUUAACAGACCCAGGGGCCUAUGUCCAAUGGUUCUCCAUGUUAUGUUUAUGUACAUCAUAUUAUGAAAUUGGAUUUCUGUACAAGAAUUUUGGCCAGGUUUUUAUUUUUGAUGACCAGUUUCUAUCCAGUGUUGGAGCAAUAGCAGCACUGUCUACCUCAGUUUAUAGAAUUGUAAUAUCAGUUCUGGCUGAUAAAUACAGUGCGAAGAUAACAUAUGUCGUCAGUGUCGCUUUUGGUACUCUACCUUUGUUCAGUUUUUACCAAACAAAAUACCUUGGAAAAUAUUGGUUCUUUUUCUGGGUGUGUGGUCUGACCUGUACAACAUCAGCAGCGAUAAUCUUUCCCGCGUGCAUAGUGCGAUACAUGUACGGUCCUGAAUACUUUACUACCAACUUUUCCAUCAUCUUCUCUUCAGUUGCUGUAGCAAACUUCGUGUCACCAUUAUUUGUCGGGUUUUCAUUGGAGUAUAUUGGGUGGCAGAAUGUAAUAUUGACUUUAGGGGCUAUACACACCGCGGGUACGUAUUUCCCCUGGCAAUUAACUGAAACUGAUCAUUUAUCGAUAGCAAGAUCAGAUUAAAUAUAUAGUGUAAUGGUUCCGAAUGAUCAUCAAUGAUAGUUUUAUUGGGUGACAUUACUUAGGUAAUCUCUCUAACGAUUGCCCCAAUCACUAAUCUAAAUAACAGUUCAAUCAAUAAUCUAAUAAAAGGAGUUUAGCUAGGAUCUGGAAGAGUUGUAACAUAACCGGCCUUCUGGAUGAUGUGAGGGAUUAGCCAAUGAAAUGGUCUGUUAUGGCGAGUU